GAUGAACGCUGGCGGCGUGCUUAACACAUGCGAGUCGAACGGAAAGGCCCAAGCUUGCUUGGGUACUCGAGUGGCGAACGGGUGAGUAACACGUGGGUGAUCUGCCCUGCACUUCGGGAUAAGCCUGGGAAACUGGGUCUAAUACCGGAUAGGACGAUGGUUUGGAUGCCAUUGUGGAAAGUUUUUUCGGUGUGGGAUGAGCUCGCGGCCUAUCAGCUUGUUGGUGGGGUAAUGGCCUACCAAGGCGUCGACGGGUAGCCGGCCUGAGAGGGUGUACGGCCACAUUGGGACGGAGAUACGGCCCAGACUCCUACGGGAGGCAGCAGUGGGGAAUAUUGCACAAUGGGCGCAAGCCUGAUGCAGCGACGCCGCGUGGGGGAUGACGGCCUUCGGGUUGUAAACUCCUUUCGCUAGGGACGAAGCGUUUUUGUGACGGUACCUGGAGAAGAAGCACCGGCUAACUACGUG
rnacentral:rRNA from 1 species